GACGAACGCUGGCGGCGUGCUUAACACAUGCAAGUCGAGCGGUAAGGCCCUUUCGGGGGUACACGAGCGGCGAACGGGUGAGUAACACGUGGGUGACCUGCCCUCAGCUCUGGGAUAAGCCUGGGAAACUGGGUCUAAUACUGGAUAUGACUCCACGGUGCAUGUCGUGGGGUGGAAAGCCUUGUGCGGCUGAGGAUGGGGCCCCGCGACGUACUCUAGCGUUGUUUGGGUUGGGGGUUGGGGAGUAGGUCCGGUACCCCUAAACCGGACGGACCGGAACCGGGUAAC
rnacentral:rRNA from 1 species